CAGUCGCCGCGGGAAUACGAAGGGGGCUAGCGUUGCUCGGAAUCACUGGGCGUAAAGGGUGCGUAGGCGGGUCUUUAAGUCAGGGGUAAAAUCCUGGAGCUCAACUCCAGAACUGCCUUUGAUACUGAAGAUCUUGAGUUCGGGAGAGGUGAGUGGAACUGCGAGUGUAGAGGUGAAAUUCGUAGAUAUUCGCAAGAACACCAGUGGCGAAGGCGGCUCACUGGCCCGAUACUGACGCUGAGGCACGAAAGCGUGGGGAGCAAACAGGAUUAGAUACCCCCGUAGUCCCUGUCUCUUAUAC
rnacentral:rRNA from 1 species